AUCGAAUAUUUUUCCUAUUGUGGAAACUUAGUAGUAUUAUUAAUUUUUUAAUUAUUUCAUUCACUAAAAUGAAAAUUCUUUGCUUUCGUUAAACUAGAGGUGAAGAUCUUUUCCCCAUGGAUUCUUCGAACAUUGAUAGUACUUCUCAAAAUGCAACUGAAUCGUAUACUGCUUUUAUUCGCCAACAACAAAACCAAAGACAGGCGAAUAGGAGGAAUCGAAUUCAAAGUCCACGCGUUGAUCGUCGUAAAAGAAUAAAUAAUUCCACGUUGCAUCCUAAUUUUCAGGCUUCUACUUCAAAUCAAGCACGUACUAAUAUUGUUCAUUCUAAAGUACGAGGGAUUUCUAACCUAUUAAACAUACCUACUAAUGCAUAUGUAUUACCGACAUGGAACUAUUGAGAACAUUGUGGUGCGCGAAAAUUUUAGAGAGAAACUAAAGGGUUAUGUUGCUCUGAUGGAAAAGUUAAACUUUAUAUGCCUGAUUCACCAACUGAAUUGUAUAAUUUAUUUACUUCUAAAGAACCUGAAUGCAUGGAGUUUAAGAAAAUUUCACGUGGAUAUAAU
rnacentral:lncRNA from 1 species